rnacentral:rRNA from 1 species
CGGAACCCAAAAAUCGUAACAAGGUCUCCGUAGGUGAACCUGCGGAGGGAUCAUUACACAAAUAUGAAGGCGGGCUGGAACCUCUCGGGGUUACAGCCUUGCUGAAUUAUUCACCCUUGUCUUUUGCGUACUUCUUGUUUCCUUGGUGGGUUCGCCCACCACUAGGACAAACAUAAACCUUUUGUAAUUGCAAUCAGCGUCAGUAACAAAUUAAUAAUUACAACUUUCAACAACGGAUCUCUUGGUUCUGGCAUCGAUGAAGAACGCAGCGAAAUGCGAUAAGUAGUGUGAAUUGCAGAAUUCAGUGAAUCAUCGAAUCUUUGAACGCACAUUGCGCCCUUUGGUAUUCCAAAGGGCAUGCCUGUUCGAGCGUCAUUUGUACCCUCAAGCUUUGCUUGGUGUUGGGCGUCUUGUCUCUAGCUUUGCUGGAGACUCGCCUUAAAGUAAUUGGCAGCCGGCCUACUGGUUUCGGAGCGCAGCACAAGUCGCACUCUCUAUCAGCAAAGGUCUAGCAUCCAUUAAGCCUUUUUUCAACUUUGACCUCGGAUCAGGUAUGGAUACCCAAUUC